UCUCAAAAUGUUCGUAUGUUUUUUUCGUAUAAUUAUACGAACGCUACGAAGUACUUCGUUUCGUGAAACGAAUGUCAUACGAAGUGCUUCGUUUAAAAUAAAAAAUGUAAACGAAGUUUAUACGAACUUUGUUAAUAUAUGAUACGAACUUAAACGAAGUUUUUUUUACCGUACAAAAUGAAAUGAUACGAACUUUGAACAAAGUAAAUUGCUAUACGAUCUUGAAACGAACUUCAAAAGUACCGGCGUGAUUGCGCAUAAUAACGAAACCAGAAACAAAAGAAUUAAACAAUUUUUUUUAAAGACGAAAAGAAAUAAUACGCACUUUAAACGAAACCAGAAAUAAAAAAAGUAAAAUAUACGAGGUUGACUUCUUUGAAAAGACUAGUAAAAUUGCAUAUUCAUAGGUUCAAUCUACACGAUCUACGGCGAUCUUUUCGCUUUAUACGAUCCCGUUUUCAUGAUUUUUAAACGAUCUACGGCGAUCUUUUCGCUUUAUAGGAUCCAGUUUUCAUGAUUUUUAAACGAUCUACGGCGAUCUUUUCGCUUUAUACGAUCCUGUUUUCAUGAUUUUUAAACGAUCUACGGCGGUCUUUUCGCUUUAUACGAUCCUGUUUUCAUGAUUUUUAAACGAUCUACGGCGAUCUUUUCGCUUUAUACGAUCCUGUUUUCAUGAUUUUUAAACGAUCUACGGCGGUCUUUUCGCUUUAUACGAUCCUGUUUUCAUGAUUUUUAAACGAUCUACGGCGAUCUUUUCGCUUUCUACGAUCCCGUUUUCAUGAUUUUUAAACGAUCUACGGCGAUCUUUUCGUUUUCUACGAUCCCGUUUUCAUGAUUUUUAACGAUUUACGGCGAUCUUUUCGUUUUCUACGAUCCCGUUUUCAUGAUUUUUAACGAUUUACGGCGAUUUUUUCGUUUUCUACGAUCCCAUUUUCAUGAUUUUUAAACGAUCUACGGCGAUUUUUUCGUUUUCUACGAUCCCGUUUUCAUGAUUUUUAAACGAUCUACGGCGUUCUUUUCGCUUUCUACGAUCCCGUUUUCAUGAUUUUUUAAACGAUCUACGGCGAUCUUUUCGCUUUCUACGAUCCCGUUUUCAUGAUUUUUAACGAUUUACGGCGAUUCUUUCGCUUUCUAUGAUUCCGUUUUCAUGAAUUUUAAACGUUCCACAGUGAUCUUUUCGCUUUCUACGAUCCUGUUUUCAUGAGUUUUAAACGAUCUACAGAGAUGUUUUUGCUUUCUACGAUGCCGUGGAGACGAUCCUUAAAGACCUUAGAUAAUAAAUCCAAUUAGAAUAAACGAAGUUCGUAUAACGAAACGAACUUUAUAAUUGUUGAAAAAAUUUCAAUAUAAAACUAUAGAUAAUAGUCCAAUUAUAAUAAACGAACUUCGUAGAAGCAAAUUUUUAUACGAACUUCUUUAAAAAUGAUACGAACUACAUACGAACUUUAUUUUAAAUGAUACGAACUUUAUACGAACUUGUAAUUUUGAUGAUACGAAAAAGUUCGUAUUAAAAAUAAAAUGAUACGAAAGAUUUAAUAAAUCGAUACGAAGUUUUUUAUACGAAUUAUACGAACUACGUACGAACAUUAUGAGACGAUCCCUAAUGCACAAUGUAAAAAAGCUCUCCUUUUCCACUCAUCAAAGUUGGAUUAUACAAAUUGUUUUAAUUUCUGGCUGCUAAAACAUAAACAGGUAAAUUGUUCUACAUAGCAUUUUAAAAAUAUGUGAAAAGAAACUGACAUUUGUUAUUCUUCUGGUUAUCAGGACGUCAACAUGAUAACAUCAUUUCAUUCAAAACUUCCACUUUUUACUGAUGUGAAUGCCACCAGCAGGUAUUUUGUCAGUCAAUAUAUCUGAAACAAUUUAUACGUGUCCAUAAAUAACACAUAUGCACACGAUUGCAUUAAAUAUAUAUUGACAUACAUGUCAGUUGCUUAGAAAAUUGUAUGACUAUUCUUAAUUCAAAAAUGUUCGUGUUAGAUGAUAAGUGAAUGUCGCCAGCUCAUAUUCAACGAAACACGAAUAGUAAAUUAAAAUGGAAAUGAGUGUAACAACUUGAAAUAAUAAGUUAUGCAUAAUUUAUUCACAAUUCUCUACAUAAAUGAUUCACCAAGGUUGGAAGAGUUGAACAUACUCACACACAUAAUAUUUCCAUGUUGAUUCAAAUUUACAAUAUAUAUAAAUUUAUUUUUUGAUUAAAAACACACAGUCUAUUUAUAUAAUGUAAAAUGUAUAAUCACUUUUUCUACCUUUUAAAUUUGAAAAACUGCAGCUUAUCUACCAGAUUUUCAUAGAACUUACAAAACAAUUAUUAAAAGCAUUAAAAUACAGAACAAACAAUCUGGGUACCCCUGGAAGAUUUUAAAUUUAAUAAAUAAAGUUCAAUUUAGUGAGAAAGGGGACAUUCGAGUACCCUUAAAGAGUUUGUUAAUGUUAAGUUUCCUGUAAACCAAAAAUUAAACCAUUAAAAACAACAGGAACAGAAUGACUUUUUUUAGACAUCUUUUAUGGUGUUUAAACUUCUAAUAACAAGCAAUCGUAAAAUGGAUAUGCGGAAACAACACCAUAUUUAUUAUAUACAUGCAAAGAACAUCUGCACAUAUAGUAAUUUUGGAAAUAAAUUAAAAUCUCGUAGUUAGAAUACAACAGAAAAAAGUUAAUCAACACUUGUUCUUUCUUCUUCUCUUUUGAUAACUUUUUGUUUAUUUUAUCUUUUUUUUCAUUUUAUUUAAAAAAACUAACCCAAAACACUUUCUUUUCGCUUUAUUCGUUUUUCUUUUUUCUUUUCUCUUUUCUUUAUUUAUUUAUUUUUUUUAUUUCAAAGUGAAAAAGUAAAAAUAUUUUGAAUACUUUUCUAAGUUCUUUAAAUUUAAGGGUUAGGAAACACAUACUUUUGAGGUCUUUGCAAAGUAUAUAGUAGAGCAUUGUAAAAACUAUACAACAAUUAUUCAAUUCUUCAUCAGCACAAUAAAGAUUACAAUUAAAAUACUGGAAAUAAAAACAAAUCUAAAAAAAUAAAUAAAUCAAAUAAAACUAGCACGUACUUUUCUUUUUCUUCUCUUCAACUCUCUCGACUGCAAGUAAUAAAAAUUUCAACUGUUUUUACAUCUUUGUUAUGCUAGGCGCAAUAUUAUAUGUUUAAUAAUUAAGGCACACUACAUUAAUUUGAACGUUUAUAAUGCGCAAAAACGUGUUAUAUUUAUGGCUUCAUUAAAAAGAAGAUUUUAAAGUACCAAAUUAUCAGCUUGAAUUGGCAUGUUUGUGGUAUCCAUUUCAUACAGCAGAAGAAAAGUGAGUUGCGAAGGUAUGGAUGAUUUGAAAGUUAUUUUUACGUUUUUUCGUUGGUUUGAUGUAGCUAGCUAGCUAACUAAAUUACUUUGUGGUGCCUGUGGCCACCAUGGAAAAUGCUGUCAUCCUUCAAUGGAAUCAAUACCUAGCUAGCUACAGUGAGAAGAAGAAAAUUCAAUCCAUAAAAGUAUUAACAAAACUCUUUCUUUUUAAAUUUUAUUAUACAAUUUUUAAGUAUUUCCUAAAACUCAAGUUGCUUCUUUUUUUUGUUGUAUCGUGGAAAUAAAUUUAAGUCACCAAUCCAAAACUAACAGGGGAAAAUAUACAUGAGGGUGCCGAUAAGCCACCAAUGGUUCAAAAAACUAUAAAAAUUAAAAUAAACUUUAUGUGGUAGCGAAGUUCUUAAAAGAACUGUUUUUGAUGGUUUUUAUAAGAUUUACUUUAUAAAUAACUUACAUAUAAACUUUAUUAACUCCUUUCUCUUCAAGCGCCUUCUUGCAACUGUCGUCCGCAUGAUGGUAUGUUACAAGAAAUUGCAUUUUGGGAAUGCUCCGGGCGAUUUCGGAGGACAACCGCCAAUUUUAUUCGCAAAGUUUCCCGAGCUCGCCCUUGUAUAUGCGUUCGUUUGGGGCUUAUCAACACCCUCUUAAAUAUACCUCUUCAUUCUUUUAGGUAUUUGCUCAUUUGUGGUUAAAAACUUUUGUACUGUUGCUACUAGCGUCUUUUUACUUUACCUACUUUUGCAUGUUGUUAAAUUCUUCAACACUUAAACCUUGCAAUAAAUUUUUCAAGAAGUGAGCUAAUGACGUGUGAAGUCACGAAUGACCAAGUGGACUUUUGUUCGAUAAUAGUGGCGACCGUUAAUGUAAUUAUUGUUUUUGGGAGAUUAAGUUUGGACAUAUACAAAAAUAUUUAAAAAAAAUAAAAAAUAUUCAGGGCUUCAUCAUUUUCUUUACAACCCUAUGUUUUUGCAUUGUGUUUUAUGAGCUUACAAUAAUGUGGUAUAGCUAAGUUAUGAUACGUAAAAACUACUCUUGAAUGACCCUUUAAGAAUGUGAAACCACAUAAUAGACCUUAAUCAAAUUUCGUGUUUUUCGUAACUUUUGUGUUCAGUAUGGUGGAUUAGUGCGCGUGUCAACUGGCCAAAAAAGCCAUAAGUAUGAGGGCAAGCUUGGGUAAAUUUUUAAAUACAAUUUGUACUUUCCAAACGAAAAACAGUGCUUUCAAUUCUGUUGUCUUGGCCACAAAAAGUAGUGAUCUAUAUUUUAUGUGUUUAGCCUCAUUAAUUCCAAUAAAUUUACCCUGUCAAUUUUUUUCCAGGAGGUACAACAUAGACGGUUCUAGAGUGUAAAAAAGCUUCCAUUUGAGCCACAGAAACUGUUCAAUAAGCAACAACUGUUAUGUGGGAUUGAACCCAUAUGAAUAGGAAGUGAACGCUCUACCGACUGAACUACCAAUCCCCAAAAAAAGACAACCCUCAAAAUGACUUUACUAAUUAUAUCAAGCAUAUUGUAUCUAGUAAACACUUUUUGAGCACUCUGUCCCAAAAAAUGAUAUAUAUUUGUAGUUUAGAAAUUUGGCUCCAAAUAUCGUCCGUCAAAGGCCUGGAUUUUAAUGUAUUUAGAGACUUUGCUAUAUAUAUAAUAUAAUAUACUAUAUAAAAAUGUUUUCUGUUUUUUUUUAGGUUGCGUACAUUUAGAGCGAGGAGAAAUGUUAUUUUUCAAUACGUGAGAUAAAAAGAAGAAAGCGAAACCUCACACCUCGUUGUUAUUGUUUUUCUGUCAAAAAUUUAGCUGUUUUAUAAAUCUUGAUAAAGUUAAUAAAUUGUUUUCGUUUCUGUA